UACAGAGGUCUCGAGCGUUAGGCGGAAUCACUGGGCUUAAAGCGUGUGUAGGCGGAUCGGUAAGUACCUUGUGAAAUCCCACAGCUUAACUGUGGAACUGCUUGGUAUACUGCCAGUCUUGAGCCAGCUAGGGGCUACCGGAACAAAUGGUGGAGCGGUGAAAUGCGUAGAUAUCAUUUGGAACGCCAAUGGUGAAAACAGGUAGCUGGGGGCUGUGCUGACGCUGGAGACACGAAAGCGUGGGGGAGCAAACAGG
rnacentral:rRNA from 1 species